rnacentral:rRNA from 1 species
GAAGAAGCGCCGGCUAACUACGUCCCAGCAGCCGCGGUAAUACGUAGGGCGCAAGCGUUAUCCGGAAUUAUUGGGCGUAAAGAGCUCGUAGGCGGUUUGUCGCGUCUGCCGUGAAAGUCCGGGGCUCAACUCCGGAUCUGCGGUGGGUACGGGCAGACUAGAGUGAUGUAGGGGAGACUGGAAUUCCUGGUGUAGCGGUGAAAUGCGCAGAUAUCAGGAGGAACACCGAUGGCGAAGGCAGGUCUCUGGGCAUUAACUGACGCUGAGGAGCGAAAGCAUGGGGAGCGAACAGGAUUAGAUACCCUGGUAGUCCAUGCCGUAAACGUUGGGCACUAGGUGUGGGGGACAUUCCACGUUUUCCGCGCCGUAGCUAACGCAUUAAGUGCCCCGCCUGGGGAGUACGGCCGCAAGGCUAAAACUCAAAGGAAUUGACGGGGGCCCGCACAAGCGGCGGAGCAUGCGGAUUAAUUCGAUGCAACGCGAAGAACCUUACCAAGGCUUGACAUGAACCGGAAACACCUGGAGACAGGUGCCCCGCUUGCGGUCGGUUUACAGGUGGUGCAUGGUUGUCGUCAGCUCGUGUCGUGAGAUGUUGGGUUAAGUCCCGCAACGAGCGCAACCCUCGUUCUAUGUUGCCAGCACGUGAUGGUGGGGACUCAUAGGAGACUGCCGGGGUCAACUCGGAGGAAGGUGGGGACGACGUCAAAUCAUCAUGCCCCUUAUGUCUUGGGCUUCACGCAUGCUACAAUGGCCGGUACAAAGGGUUGCGAUACUGUGAGGUGGAGCUAAUCCCAAAAAGCCGGUCUCAGUUCGGAUUGGGGUCUGCAACUCGACCCCAUGAAGUCGGAGUCGCUAGUAAUCGCAGAUCAGCAACGCUGCGGUGAAUACGUUCCCGGGCCUUGUACACACCGCCCGUCAAGUCACGAAAGUUGGUAACACCCGAAGCCGGUGGCCUAACCCC